GGGUGCCGGCGGGCCUACACAUGCAAGUCGAGCGCGCCUUCGGGUGAGCGGCGGACGGGUUAGUAACGCGUGGGAACGUACCCUUCUCUACGGAAUAGCCUUUGGAAACGAAGAGUAAUACCGUAUACGCCCUUUGGGGGAAAGAUUUAUCGGAGAAGGAUCGGCCCGCGUUAGAUUAGAUAGUUGGUGGGGUAACGGCCUACCAAGUCUACGAUCUAUAGCUGGUUUUAGAGGAUGAUCAGCAACACUGGGACUGAGACACGGCCCAGACUCCUACGGGAGGCAGCAGUGGGGAAUCUUAGACAAUGGGCGCAAGCCUGAUCUAGCCAUGCCGCGUGAGUGAUGAAGGCCUUAGGGUCGUAAAGCUCUUUCGCCUGUGAUGAUAAUGACAGUAGCAGGUAAAGAAACCCCGGCUAACUCCGUGCCAGCAGCCGCGGUAAUACGGAGGGGGUUAGCGUUGUUCGGAAUUACUGGGCGUAAAGCGCACGUAGGCGGAUUGGAAAGUUGGGGGUGAAAUCCCGGGGCUCAACCCCGGAACUGCCUCCAAAACUAUCAGUCUAGAGUUCGAGAGAGGUGAGUGGAAUUCCAAGUGUAGAGGUGAAAUUCGUAGAUAUUUGGAGGAACACCAGUGGCGAAGGCGGCUCACUGGCUCGAUACUGACGCUGAGGUGCGAAAGUGUGGGGAGCAAACAGGAUUAGAUACCCUGGUAGUCCACACCGUAAACGAUGAAUGCCAGUCGUCGGGGCAGUAUAC
rnacentral:rRNA from 1 species